rnacentral:lncRNA from 1 species
AACCCCGCGGCGGCGGGCGGGAGGUGCUGGGGCCAGGGGAGGCCCCGAGGGACCCCGCCGCCCGGUCUGCGCCCUGAUCCCGCAGGGUCCUGUGGAAAUGCGGUGUCUGCCUCCCCGCCUCCUGCGCUCACACAUGCAGGCCUGGGGCCUGCGGGUCCCGGGGCUCUGAGCCUGCACAGCCCACGGGCCGCAGCCGCAGGCCCCGCACUGGUAGCUUAGGUGGACACGGAGGCUGAGGGGGAGUUUCCAAGGGGCCUGGCCUCACGCUCUGCCCGUCACAGCCGCCACCCCUCACCGGCCCUCCACCCACCCCUAACUCCUUAACCUCUCCCGGCCUCGGUUUCCUCACCUAUUAACUAGAGAUUAGUCAUAGCUACCAUCCAGGCUUGUUAUAUUAAAAUAGAAUAAUUAUGUAAUGUGCCGUGUGCACUCCAAACGCGGUCCUCUUUCCCUGUCCCACACCUCCUUCCUCCUGCAUCAGGCCUGGGGAGGGGGGCGUGCCGAUGUCACCCCCAACCCCCAGGCCUAGAGUCCUGGACACAUGGACGCCCCUGCCAGAGCUCCCCUCCCCGCGCUUGGGGUUACUUUGAACCCCGCCUCCUACAAGAGGAUGGUCCAGCCUAUUGUCGGAACCUGCAGGAAUCCCAGGCUGCGACCCAAGAAUAUUAGCGGAGGCCCAGCCUGGCUGGGGCUCUGCAAGUCCGACCUGGGUGCCCCAGAGAGCUGCUCCGGGAAAGACGUUUACCUGCUGCCCAGAGCUGGGACUGCAGACCCUGAUUGGCGAGGGCUUGGAGAGUAGCUGAGAACCUUCCCUUCAGCUACUGAAGACCAGACAGGGCUUUCUGUAUCACGCUGCCUGACGAUGAUGAGGGUGCAGUGACUAAGAGUGCAGAUGAAAGGCCCAGCUCUCCAACCAGGUGGAUGGAUUUGCAAGGAGCUUCUAUCUGGGCGUGGUGGCUCAUGCCUGUAAUCCCAGCACUUUGGGAGGCUGAGGCGAGCGAACCACCUGAGGGUGGGAGUUCAAGACCAGCCUGACCAACAUGGAGAAACCCCAUCUCUACUAAAAAUACAAAAUUAGCCGGGCAUGGUGGCAGGCACCUGUAAUCCCAGCUACUCGGGAGGCUGAGGCAGGAGAAUCGCUUGAACCCGGGAGGCGGAGGUUGCAGUGAGCCAAGAUCGUGCCAUUGCACUCCAGCCUGGGCGACAGAGUGAGACUCCAUUUCAAAAAAAAAAAAAAAAAAGAAAGGAGCUUCUGAGAGAUGGGGUCUCCACCUCCCCAUCAGAUACUCCAGGGCUUUGGAAAGAGCUGGCUGGCUCUUGGGCAUCACCUCAACUUUCCCCUAGGUGACGCUGCCAAGGAACUGUGGCACUGUCCCUACUUCCCACAUCCAGCUCCACGGUUCCACCUCCCACCCCCCUUGCCUGUGGAAGCUCAAAAUAAGCUUUCUAGAGCAUGAUGUUUCUUGUGUGAGGGGUCAUCUGAGGUUGUAAAGACUGAAGCUCUUCACCAGAGAAACGCAGGAAGCAUCCCGCAGCUAAGUGAGGCAAUGUCUGGGGCACGCCAGGCCACGCCAGGUAGCUCAGAGGGGAGGAACGCCCCUGGCUACACAGCCUGCGUCUGAGCCCUGCUGGUGGCCAGGCCAUCUGCUGGGCUCCAUCCCUGGGCGUCUUUCCAGCCUGUCUUCAGUGCUCAGGGCGUCUUUAGCAGAGCAUAAAGUGGCAUUUCACUUGUCCCUCUACCCAACAGCAAGGAAGUGGACCUCUCUUAGGCUUUUCUUGGAAGACGAAAGGAAAGAAAGAACGUUCUCAAUGUGAGAUCCUACAGGACCACUGUACUGGGUCGAAUGGCGUCCCCCCCCACCAAAUUCAUGUCUGCAUGGAACCUACAAAUGUGACUUUGUUUGGAAAGAGGGUCUUUGCAGAUGUAAUUAAGAUGUACUCCACAGGCCUGGGGAGAUCAAGGCUAACAGCAUGUUGUAUGAGGAUGGCCCCAGUCCAAUGACUGAUGCCCUUAUAUGAGGGAAAUCUGGACACAGACACACAGAGAAGGCCACGCGGUGGUGGAGGCAGAGAUGGGAGAGAUGUGUCUACAAGCCAAGGAGCGAGCAGGACCGCCGGCCACCACCAGGAGCUGGCAGGGGCAAGGAAGUCAUUCUUCCCUGGGGGCUUCAGAGGGAGCACGGUCCCAGUACACCUUGAGUGUUGGCCUUCUGGCCUCCAGAGCUGUGAGAGAAUCCAUUUUGGUUGUUUGAAGCUGCUGAGUUUGUGGCGUUUUGUUACGGCUGUCCCAGGAAAGGAAUACAAUCACCAAAUGUCAAACACAGGGCAGCUGGGAAAAACAAGAGGGAAAUGCAUGAGGCACGUAAAGAAAAGACUUGGAAGAGACCAAGGAGGGACAGGAAGGAAUGCUUCCUCAACUUCCUCCUCGCACCCGGACAGGAAGCCGGAGACCUAGUGGCUGAGCCUUGGAAGAAGCGGCUACCUAUUCCCCCCCACAAGAGCGGGUGAGCUUGGAUGUCGGAUGAAUGAGAAGGGUCUGAAUCUUGCUGGGUCCCAGGGAGACCCUGUUAAUAAUAACAAACUCAAGAUAUGGUCUCGUCUCAUCCUCACCACAGUGCCUAAAGCAGGUUUUAUUGAAAUCCCCGUGUAUAGAUUAGGAACAAGGCAGGGCGGUUGGGUGCCUGCCCAGGGUCAUAGGCAGCAGCAGUGAUCUGGAACUGGAGCCCAGCUUUCCCACACCCUGCCCUUACCACUUGUCCUCUCCUGAUCCAGGGCUCCAGUGCCCAUGUCCAGUGCCUUGGUGGGGCUGGGCCAAGAGGCACAGCGAGGGCCCUGGCCACAGGCAGGGGCGUUGGAGCCCUGCUGCCUAGGUUUGGAUCCCAGCUCUACUCCUGGUGAGCUGUGUGACCUUGGGCAAGUUACAUUACAUCCCUGUUUUGCAGUUUCACCCACUGAGAAAAUAGGGACAAGAAUAGUACGUAACUCAUGGAGUUGCUGGAGACCUCCAUGGGUCAGUACGUUUCAGGUGCUUAGAAUAGUGCUUGGCACACUGGAAGCACAGCCAUAAAAGUGUUGUGAAAUAAAUAAAACCCGCUGGGCGAGAGAA